GGAUAGCUCAGCUGGUAGAGCACGAGACUCAGAAUCUUAGGGUUGUGGGUUUGAGCCCCAUGUUGAGCA